rnacentral:rRNA from 1 species
GAUGAACGCUGGCGGCGUGCUUAACACAUGCAAGUCGAACGGAAAGGCUCCUGCUUGCAGGGGUACUCGAGUGGCGAACGGGUGAGUAACACGUGGGUGAUCUGCCCUGCACUUCGGGAUAAGCCUGGGAAACUGGGUCUAAUACCGGAUAGGACGAUGUUUUGGAUGCCACUGUGGAAAGUUUUUUCGGUGUGGGAUGAGCUCGCGGCCUAUCAGCUUGUUGGUGGGGUAAUGGCCUACCAAGGCGUCGACGGGUAGCCGGCCUGAGAGGGUGUACGGCCACAUUGGGACUGAGAUACGGCCCAGACUCCUACGGGAGGCAGCAGUGGGGAAUAUUGCACAAUGGGCGCAAGCCUGAUGCAGCGACGCCGCGUGGGGGAUGACGGCCUUCGGGUUGUAAACUCCUUUCGCUAGGGACGAAGCGCAAGUGACGGUACCUGGAGAAGAAGCACCGGCUAACUACGUG